UACGUAGGGUGCGAGCGUUAAUCGGAAUUACUGGGCGUAAAGCGUGCGCAGGCGGUUCGUUGUGUCGGCGGUGAAAGCCCCGGGCUUAACCUGGGAAUGGCCGUUGAAACUGGCGAACUGGAGUGUGGCAGAGGGGGGUGGAAUUCCGCGUGUAGCAGUGAAAUGCGUAGAGAUGUGGAGGAACACCGAUGGCGAAGGCAGCCCCCUGGGUCAAGACUGACGCUCAUGCACGAAAGCGUGGGGAGCAAACAGG
rnacentral:rRNA from 1 species